GAUGAAGAACGCAGCGAAAUGCGAUACGUAAUGUGAAUUGCAGACGUCAGUGAAUCAUCGAAUCUUUGAACGCACAUUGCGCCCCCUGGUAUUCCGGGGGGCAUGCCUGUUCGAGCGUCAUUUCACCACUCAAGCCUCGCUUGGUAUUGGGCAACGCGGUCCGCCGCGUGCCUCAAAUCGACCGGCUGGGUCUUCUGUCCCCUAAGCGUUGUGGAAACUAUUCGCUAAAGGGUGUUCGGGAGGCUACGCCGUAAAACAACCCCAUUUCUAAGGUUGACCUCGGAUCAGGUAGGGAUACCCGCUGAACUUAAGCAUAUCAAUAAGCGGAGGA
rnacentral:misc_RNA from 1 species